rnacentral:tRNA from 1 species
GGUGCUAUGGCUCAGUGGUAGAGCGCUUGCUUUGCACUUGUGAGACACUGGGUUCGAUCCUCAGCACCA